ensembl:lincRNA
AGAAACAGCGAUGGUAUCGAAGAAGUAUGCGCAUACGCGUACAAAAAAAAUUGAGAUAAAGCUACGAAAGAGGAAUGCUGAUCACUUAAAAGCCAUUCCUAUACGAAUGGUUGUGUAUCUGCGUGUACGCGUAUGAAGGGUAGGUUACGUGUCUGUAUGAAUUACUUAGCCACUUCACAAUUUUCCAAACAGCGUUGCUAUUUAGUUGCAUGUCUUCAAAAGGAGUGGGCGAAUAACUCGUCUUUAAAUAAAUAAACAGUAUACUCACUUAUUCUGGUGACUAUCCAUGUGCAAUCUGUUCCCAAACAGACAUAAUUUGAAAAGCAGGCUAGUAGCCUAUUUAAUUUUGCUGGUUGCUGAAGCCAUCAGAUGAAAAUCCAAGUGACUUGCAGCCCCCUUCGCGCUGUACUUGAAUAUCGUUUUCGAUGUCACGGAAGGGAAGGCAAAUAUUAGCAGAAGUGGACAGAAUUGCCUUUGAUAGACUGGCUCACAGGGUUAUUUUGCCCAAGUGCAUAUACAAAAUCCAUUUGAGAGCGGUCUGAAUCGAUGAGAUACGCGCUUGAUUGGGUGUCCCUUGUUGUAAUAAUGUACAUCAGAAGGAGGGGAUGGACCCUAACUGUGUUUCAACUGCUUUAUGAACAUGGAUCAGCAGCUUUGCCAAACACUUUCUUGGCUGCUAAUAGCACUUUUUUUCCCUUUCUUUGUGUGGCCGAUAGUAGGUAUUUAAAGACAGGAACAGCAAAUCAGAGGCGACUUCCUUGCUCCAGAUGCCGUCUUCGCUUAAAAAGAGUCAGGCAGAAAUUCAGUAACAAACAAUUUCCUUGUUUUUCUGAGCACAGAAGGGAAAAAGACCGCUCUCACUUUUUACGAUCGUCUUUAGGAUAAAAACGCAACGGUCCAUUCCCUGGGGGGAAGGCUACUGUCUGUGAGGGAAAAAAAAAAUGACGAAUAAUUUCUUGCAAACAAGAAAAUGGUGAGUUGUCAAAUUCUGCUUCUCCUGCCAAAUGUGUUCAAUUCCAUGCCGUUGACAUUUCGCUGGUCUCUUCUCACACUAUAACAGUCACAGUUAUCUGAUCACAGAAGGAACGAUCAAACCAAGGUAGGAAAGAGAGCCUUUGGAAACGAGCAGAAUAUCCGAUCCCUGUGCUACUGCCGGCCAGGCUUGUGUUGGGAAGAGAAAGAACUGACUUUCACUGAUUCGGGAUGUUUUUAGCCCAAUCUCUCUCCGUGUGCCGCUAUAGCAUUGCAUGCCGUUAGAUCCGCCCAAACAUCUGUCCGUCUAACCAUUGGCGCAUCCAUCAGUGUCACAGUGGCUGCACAUCGCAACGACAAUGCCUCAGACAUAACAGAGGCUGCGAGGCUCAAUACGAAUAGCUACAACACUGUAACUUCGCCGAAAACACGGUAGACAUAACAGUGACUGGGUCUUUGAUCUUAAAAUACACGGCGUUUUCAUUUUCGAUCGCUGUAAACUAACUGCGUCAGACAUAGGGGAGAUCUGUGCAAUCACUGGUCUUUUUUUGCGUCGUUUAAAAAGACGGAAAUGUAGCGCUAGGUAAAUGCGAUCUGCUGUAUGAAACUAUUGAAGAAAAUAUUUUGAAAAGACUUUUGAGAAAACUACUACUAACAAGUUUCUGCGGACAAAGCAAAACUGUCGGAAUGCUAGUUUGUUUUAAUGUUUUGUAAAUAAUUAUCGGUCUGAAGAAGAAACUUAAAAUAUCAGUUGUGUUACAGUGUGUCGUAAUGGAGUCCAUAAGGAGAAAAGUUACAUGAAACGAGAUGAACGCUACAAUAUUACUUUCUGCGAAGGCGUUGGAUGUUAAUUAUAACAUGAACAGCGAAUCAGUUGCUCCUUUAGUUUUCAGGUUUUGUUGGGUUACGUUGCGCUCUAGAACAGCAUCAGACCCGAUGUAGACCAUUCCCUUAUUGUCUAAUAUCUAGGGCAGCCACACAGCCUGAAUCCUAUAGUUAAAAAAGAAACACGAAAACAAAAGGAAUUAUAUCGUUCUUAAAAUGCAUCCUAAAUACGCGAGCAACAGUUUGUUUCACUUGCCCUGUAAACGUCUUAAAGACAAUCGCACCGUGAAAAACGAUAUGCACGAGAGUGUGGUCAAUUAAGCCGUUAAAAACGAUUUUUUUCCAACUGUACAUGGAUUCAAAAAGUACACUUCCGUAGGUCAAUUUGUUACGAUUUAAAAGUCGAGAUCUUUUGAACUUAGCCUAGGUAAAAACAGUACUGUACACAUAACAAAUGUCUAUUAGGAUCCUGAUUUUUUACUAAAUCUGAUGGCAUACGUACGUUGUUAUGAUCUUUAUAAUGAGUAUUAUAAUAGAUUUUUUUUUUAAUCAGAAGGGAAUAGAAGAUGUCCUAAGUUGUUCAGUCCGACUUUUUACCAGUCCAUUACAAAUCUAUUUACUACACCCUACACAGGUAGGAAAUAUCAGGAAAUAUUUUAGAAAUAUUUAAUACUUUUUGCUAACUUGUUUAGUUAUAUAAAUCACAUUUUUAUGUUAGGCAUGUUUCACCAUGCUUAAAAUGACUUGACUAUAUUUUUAUUUUCAACAAUAAACACAAAGAGUAGUAUUUGUCGGGGUGAUAAUUUUGGACAGAAUCCAAUUAAGAAAUGUGACCCUUAGAAACGUUAAGGAGAGUGAAAGAUUUUUUUUUUCAUUUUGAGCGGCGAUACCAGCGAUUUUAAGAUAAUUACUGAGAAGGAGUGGCUAGAACUACAAACUGUUAUGUGUUUUCUGGUAUCGAUAAACACAUUUUUAAGGUUGUAUUGCAAAGCAUUGAGUGUGAAAAUAAAAUGAACAAUCACAUGCUUUUACAAUUUUGCUUAUUCUAUAAACUUUAUUUUUAAGCGUAAAACUUUGCAAUCGCUAAGUGGAAUUUGUUUUCACCAGACAGAUGUGUAUACGUUUGUGUGAAAAGGCCAAGAACUACAGUGUGCUACAAAGUGUAGAACACUGUCAUAAAAUACAAAGGACUACACUUAAUUGAUAGUUGUGAGUGAUUUAAAUUGAUAUUAAAGAUGAUAAUUUAAUGUUUUGUUUUCAUUUAAAUCACCUCGAUAGCACUUUGUGUAAGAGCGUGUUCUUUCACAGCGGGGCCUGUAUCAGGUGAGUAAGAAGGGGGCCGUGCAUAGUACACGUACACAUCUCGUCUCAUAGUACACUUGGCAUUAUCGAACCCGUGUAAGUGUAAAACAUGAACAAAUAAAUAAAACAGAGUAAAAUGGCAAAUGCCAUUCUGUUCCCUGUUUUAGUAUUUGUCAGCCAGCAUGUUAACCGAAGGCUAGUUACAGUAUGUGGCAGUGCUCGAUAUCAGAUGUUUUCUGGUGGGUUUGUCGCUUAAUGAUAAGUUUGAAUGUCGAGUUGCCAAAAUGAACGAAUCAGCAUAUUCAACUCACCAGAAAGGAAAAGCUAUAGUUAACGACACUGAACAUAACACACAACUUUGAUUUGAAGCAUUUAUACCAGUCUUCUCAUUAACUUUGCUUUUUCUCUUUCAUGGUGUCAAAUCUGAAAUAUGUAAUUUUCAUUACUUUUAAUUUUCAGUCUCACGUGAUCUCCUAAGGCAGAGAGAUAGCCUACUUAAUGACAACGUGAUGAAAAAGUGGUUAAUUGUUUAAAACCAGCUGUAUUCUGUAAAGUUGUGUUACAGGGUGUAUUAAGAAACUCGUGCCGGAAGACAACUUGCUUAAUGUAUGUAUUUAGGCGAUAUAUUUUAACUAUGAUCUGUAUAAUAAAGAACGAUUCAAUAAACUGAACUUUUGAAAACAUCUUCCCUCUAAGAAACAGUAUUGUAUUUGCAACGAAUGUCAAUACACAAGAAUGGUAUUUAAAUCGGUUAAAUUAAGGUUCUGUGUUAACAGGUUUGUGUGUGUUUAUGUAUGUUCAUUUUUGAUCUCACAGGAAAGCUAAGUCCUGUAAAAUGUUAAUCUAUAUUCUACAGCAAACAUGGUCAUGAAUAUUAUUCUGGAACUGUCCAUUUGUGUAACUUAGCACCUAUAUUUUUUAAUAGAAGCCUUAAAACUUUGUUGUUAAUUAUUUUCAUUAUGAAUACGUUUGAUUAUCGUGAUUGCUAAAUAUACUGCAUGUUGCUAAGUGAAAGCGAAAUUUUAAAUGCAAAAGUAAAAUUGAGAAGAGCUGUCUAAACCGUUU